UUGCUUGCAGAGGUGCAUCACAUGUAAUUGGGUUGAUAUGAGGUUUUGGUUUUUAUCGUAUCAUGCUUAACAGGGGUCACUGUGAGGCCAACAUUCCCCUCAGAGGUUUCAUAUUAUGAGUCAGUGUGCAUGCCCACAACCAGCAGGGAAUUUAAUGAUAGGGAAUAUAAUUGCAAGAAAAUUACACGAGUAAUUGCAGUGAGGAUAAAAUGUGCAAAAAAAUACAUUUCUGCUGCAUAACAUUUUGGGAAACAGGUAAAAAUCACUGUUAUCCACACAGACAAGCUGUUUCAGCUUGAGGAGUCAUUCAUCUUUGCAACAAAAGUUUUGGGGGAAAGUGUGUAAAGAUUUAAAUUUAAGGUAUGUCCCUUUAUUAGCACUAAAAUAUGGAGCAAAACCCAUGUUAAAUGGGUUUUAUUGUGUAUUUUCCAGGCACAUAGUGCCAUUUUAUAGCACAAUCAAAUAACUGUUACCAUCAAUUGUAAAAAUGCUCUAUUAAACAUAACUUAAAAGAAAAUUGACUUCACUAUCCAACACCUGUAAAUUUGCCUGUGUCUCUUUAAGAAGCUCCUGGUCUUUUGACAUCUUUCAAUACGUCAUCACAACAAUGUUCGUCUAUUAUAACAUUUAUAGCCAUUCUUAGGAGUGUUGCACUGAAAAUUUGUUUGUCCGAUGAGCUCAGCUGAGUUCAGUUCCACCAGGUUUUCACUUAUUACUGCUACCACCAGUCUGGAGGAGCUGUGUGGGGAAAGCACAGCUGGGGACUGCAGCUCCGAGGAAAUUCAGAGAUUCAACAAUUUCUCAAAUAUGCACGAAAGAAUCAACGCAACACUCCGGGUAUUUUUGAUGAGGCAAUAAGAUUAUAACAUAAUAUAAAGCUCAAAAAAGUCGAUUUCACAUAAUAUCACCCUGCUUCAAAAUAGAUAAAGCUAAUCAGGAGAAUAUUAUUUGCUCGGAAGGGAUAGGUUUGGGCAGUGAAGGGCUAAAAUGUAAGGAAGAUACAUUUUAUUCAAAAUGUUAUUCAAGUGUUGCAGAGUGCACAUAAUUUUUCUUCAGGUUUGUGGGGUAGAAAUCCCAAAAUUCAAUGACAAAGAAAAAUGGCUGUAUUGUUGUGAUAGUUUUCCUCCCCUCACUUCUCAAACUUCUUCUAUACAACUCUAUUAUGACAGUUGGCUUGAAGGAAUUCAAAACAAGAGCGCCUCCAGUCUUCCCCAUGGGCAGCCAACCUUCAUAACACACACUCAAAUUUGUGCCUGCAUAAGCUCUUAUAUAUACAGAUGCACACACACACAGACAUGCUAUCGUCACAUAGACCUGCAAAAUAACAGGCACAAGCAUAGCUUAGCCCCCACCUCUUGUGUUUUCAUAACAGGGUAUAAAGGUUAGGUUUGAUUCCGCUUGUUUAAAGUGCACACAUGCUCACGGACACUGCUGCCGAAGUGGAGAAAAAUAAAAAAAGUUCUAAUGCUUCCCUUAACUGCUGGCAGGUGCAAGAGGGUAGAUGCUUGGAUUCAGGGGCUGAUUGGCUAGAAAACCCCCAGGCAAGGGCCAAACAUCACCAUGAAGAUCAAAUGGAGCUUGCUACUCAAAAAGAAACAUGUGGAGAUGCCAGCCAGGUCUGAUUCAGCCUGAAGCUAGCUCCCAGCGGCCGAAGCGCUUCGUCAGCUUUGUACCGUGGGGAUGCAGUGGCUUCAGCAGAUGCACAAAGCACCAAGCUUAUGUAUUCAGUAAGUUCAGUCAUAUACAUAACAGCCAGUUUUGAAUUAUACCUGUUGUUUAAUUCUUCCAGAUGCUGAAGGUGCAGCACUCAAUAUAAACGGCAAAAAAAUGUCUGUAAAUUAUAUGAAAGGUUUCUGCCACAGAUCAAGGACUUUUGGUGUGAAUUAUGUGUACCAAUCCCAAAAUAAAGGCAAAAAAUUCUGAGAAAGUGCUAGCUGAAGUUGGUAGGAGAGUGAUUAUCCACAUGGGUUAAAAAAAGCAACAUAAAAGAGAAAGAGGGUUUGGGCAUGACAACAAUUGUGACAUUGAGAGGGAAAAGAUGAAAACAUGAUGGCCUGGGAACACCAUAACAGUUCUGAAGGGUGGCAGCAUCCUGUUUGGUGGGUUAUUUGCUGCAGGAGGGAGGAGCCAUCUCAAAUCACUGAUUUCAACAGUGAUUUUCAAACUGCAA